UCCUGUGGGGGUUACAGACAGUUCCUGGUUUCUGGCACGUGAGGCAGAUCCAGAACCAAGCACAGAGCUGCAGCUCUGAUCUGGUCACUGCCCUCUGCUGCCACGUUAACAACACAUCUAGUGAGGAGCUUCCAACUAGAUACACAGCAAUAUCCCCUCCUGCCACAUAACAACCCAGGAUCUUACUUAGGACUGAGGAUUCGGCCACAGCACCAGAUCUGACCGGUGCUCAGUGUUCUCAAGGCCCAGAGUGCUCCAUUCACAUUACUCACAUCAUCAGCUGCUGCCCCGUCCUGACCUCCGCUCUCCAGGAAUUUUUUGAAGCCUUCUAACGUCCUCUCCCCGUUAUAGUCAAUGACCUACAGAGGGAAAACAUGAGGAUACUGGUUAUGGGCACUACUGACCCACGCCCCUGGAGAGGAGAAUUCUCUUUCUGAGCAACAGUGAACAUGCCAAGCAAAAGGGAAUUGAAAAAUUCACCUUCACCCAUAUGAGACGAAGGAAAACAGCUCAGCCACUAGACUUCAGAGAUCACUGCGAGGAAAGAAUAGCCUGCAGAUGAGCACACCGUCCUCUAUGCUCCCUCUUCUCCCCAUUCCCACUUCCCACCCCCCACAAAAUCUCCCUACAGCACAGCCCCCCAUAAAGGGUCUCGGGUGUCCUGUAGACUUGAUGUGUUCAAUCCCAACAGAAUGCAGAGCCCUCCCAAAGGCCUUGUCCAAGACACAACUCAAGCAGGCAGCUGAGCAUUCCCGUGCUCCCUGGCUAUGUGACCACAUGAGCUCGGCUCCUGCUUACAUUUCUGCCAGGGCCUGCAGGGAAGAACUUGAGUGUGGGGAAGCUGUGGAUUUUCACCGCCUCCACUUCAUUAGCUGUCGAGUCCAUCUUGGCAAUGACAAUGUUCUCAUGGUCCCUGUAGAUCUCUCCCAGCUUGUCCCAGAUUGGAGCCAGCUGCUUGCAGUGACCACACCAUGGGGCAUCUGUUAAUUACAGAGACAGAGCUGUACCAACAAACUAAUGAGGUACCACCCCUUCCCAGCCAGACAAUUCACACACAUCUUUGCAACCAAGGCACUGCCUUUGGGGCCUAGACUCUGCAAAAUACUUUCUCCCUAAUCAUGGUCACACAGUAUUUUGGCACUCCUUUCACACACCAGUUACUUGGAAUCAGCUGUAGGAAGAUACUCACAGAACUCUACAAAGACAUUCUUAUUCUCAUCAAAAGCUACUUCUUCAAAGUUCUUCCCAACCAGAACUUUGACAGGCUGCUUAUCCCAGUCUUCAGGAAGAUCUUGACUCAUCAGGUGGGGCUAGAAUAAGAAGUGAAAUUCAGAGAUUGUUUGCUGCUUGGACUGAACAUGUGAUCACAUGUCCUGGAAAAUCCAGGUUUAACCACCCCCCCGGCGCCUCUGCCACAGGCUGUGAGCAACCAGAUGAAUUGGUCACUUCCUCUUCUCCCACAGAAAGUCUUCUUUGCACCCUGACCCAGUGGGAAUAGCAGGUGCUGUUGUGCAGAGAGAAGGCCAAUGGAGCUCUGCAGGAAGGAAGCAGCACUGCUGACAGCCCCAUUCACAGGGGACUGGGCUUUGCUGCACUCCCACAGCCCCUCCAGUGGGCAGGCACAGACAGCUCUUUACACUGUGCCAUAUAACUCACACCUUCCACAGGCUCUUGGCAGAAAGAGCAACUGGAGAAACAGCACAGUCCCCACGGGCAGAGCACAAGAGCUCAGCUGUACCAAAGUGCCAGUACCUACAGCCUCCAUGCCCCAGCAGCUUUGCCCUUCAUUCCUCAGCACAAAGCCCAGGGGAUAUUUCGUGCAGGAGACAGAGGAGUUUCUCAGACUCACACAGCCCCUCACAGGGAGUGUUUCUGUUCCUUCUCAGCCAGCCCAUUCACCACUGGCACCAUUUAUCCACAUACCUUGAUCUUGCCCUCCAGGAACUUGUUACAGAACUCUUUGAUCUUGUCUGCUGUCAGCUCAUCAGAUUCAGGUUUGUAUUUGGUCAUCUCUUCCUCCAGGGUGAUCAGACGUACAGCUGGGCACUCUUCCUUCUUUAGGCCAAAGAA